rnacentral:rRNA from 1 species
GUAGGUGGCAAGCGUUGUCCGGAAUUAUUGGGGCGUAAAGCGCGCGCAGGCGGUCCUUUAAGUCUGAUGUGAAAGCCCACGGCUCAACCGUGGAGGGUCAUUGGAAACUGGGGGACUUGAGUACAGAAGAGGAAAGCGGAAUUCCAAGUGUAGCGGUGAAAUGCGUAGAGAUUUGGAGGAACACCAGUGGCGAAGGCGGCUUUCUGGUCUGUAACUGACGCUGAGGCGCGAAAGCGUGGGGAGCAAACAGGAUUAGAUACCCUGGUAGUCCACGCCGUAAACGAUGAGUGCUAAGUGUUAGGGGGUUUCCCGCCCCCUUAGUGCCGCAGCUAACGCAUUAAGCACUCCGCCUGGGGGAGUACGGCCCGCAAGGCUG